rnacentral:rRNA from 1 species
UACGGGGGGAGCAAGCGUUGUUCGGAUUUACUGGGCGUAAAGGGCGCGUAGGCGGCCACCGCAAGUCGACUGUGAAAUCUCCGGGCUUAACCCGGAAAGGUCAGCCGAUACUGCGGGGCUAGAGUGCAGAAGGGGCAACUGGAAUUCUCGGUGUAGCGGUGAAAUGCGUAGAUAUCGGGAGGAACAUCAGUGGCGAAGGCGGCCCUCGUGGUCCAGUACUGACACUCAAGUGCGAAAGGCGUGGGGAA